rnacentral:lncRNA from 1 species
UAUUUCUUUUUUUAAAUGGUAGAGAGCUUUGGGCAAGUUUAAAGAUAGUAAUAAAGCUAGAAAAUGAAUAUAACCUGGGAAUAUUAUGACCAGCAGAAACACAGAUGUUAGAAAUGAAUGCUUUGGGUGGGGAAGGAUACGGUUAUCUGUGAGUUAAGAAAGGAGAAUUUCAUCAAAAGGAAGAAAGACAAUCCUGGUUUCUGAUGAUCAUAUAUAAAAUGGCACAGUGGAAAGAACACUUUAGACUAGGAGUCCUCAGCCCCCAGUCCCAGUCCAUGGCCUGUUAGGAACCAGGCCACACAGCAGGAGGUGAGCAGCAGGUGAGCACAGGAAGCUCCUUCUGUAUUUACAGAUGCUUUCAAUUGCCGCAUUACCGCCGGAGCGCCUCCUCCUAUCACGUCAGUGGCAGCAUUAGAUUCUAAUAGGAGUGUGAACCCUAUUGUGAGCUGCGCAUGCGAAGGGUCUAGGUUGCGCGCACCUUAUGAGAAUUUAACGCCGGAUGAUCUGCCAUUGUUUCCCAUCACCUCCAGAUGGGACCGUCUAGUUGCAGGAAAGCAAGGUGUCAGGGCUCCCGCUGAUUCUACAUUAUGGUGAGUUGUAUAAUUAUUAAUAUUUCAUUAUAUGUUACAAUGUAAUACUAAUAGAAAUAAAGUGCACAAUAAAUGUAGUGUGCUUGAAUCAUCCCAAAACCAUCUCCCACCCCGGUCCAUGGAAAAACUCCCAUGAAAUCGGUCCCUGAUGCCGAAAAGGUUGGGGGCUGCUGCUUUAGACCCUAAGGAGUCACACACUUUCAAAGUCAAAUCCCAGCCUUAUCCCUAAUUAGCAGCGUCCCCCUUGACCAACACUUGACCUCUCUAAAACUCAGUUUUUUCAUCCACAAAUAGUGAUAAAUACACCCACCUUAAUGAAUGAUGUGAGGAUUUCAGUGAUUCCCUGCUGACAUUUGCUGUUCUCUUCCCAGCUUUACUUUUCCCCGUAGCACUUGUAACUUUCUAACAUACUCAGUAUUUUAGUGAUUUAUCUUGGUUAUUAUCUAUCUCUCGUAACAGAAUGCAAACCAAACAAGAGUAAGAAACAAGAUUUCCUAUUUUGUUCACUGCUAUAUCCUCAGCAUUACAGUGCCUAGCGCCUAGUACGUUCUCAAUUUUUUUUUGAAAAAAGUGAGAUAAAUAAAUUAAUGAUUAGGAUACUACAGAGCAGUUUCUCAGCUUUGACACCACUAACAUUUGGAGCCAAAUAAUUAAUUUGCUUGGGGGGGUGGGGGCUGUCCUGUACCCUAUGGGAUGUUUAGCAACAUCCCUGGCCUCUAACCACUAGAGGCCAAUGGCACCCCACCCCCAGCCAUGAUGAGCAAAAUUGUGCGCAGACAUUGCCAGUUGCUCACGGAGGGACAGGAUCAUUCUGAAUUGAGAGCCUCUGCAACAGAGUAAGUGCUAAACAUGGUGGCUUUUAAUAUUAUUAUAAUAGGGGAAGAAAUGCAAAGUAAAGGAACAUUUGAUCAUCAAAUUCUCCUCCAACCUGCUUAAUUUGAGGUGGAGAAAAAUACUGCUGCUGUGAUGGUGUUGACUUCACAGCAAACUGAUAUUUUACCAAGAAACAUGUUUAGAAGAAAACAGCUCCAUCAAUUAAAAAAGUGCCUUCUAAGCUUCUUGUGUGUUAGUCGAAUGUGAGAGAUUUUCUUUUUUUGUCACCUCUCUGAACAAACAAUAACAGCAAAAGUAAUCAUCCCCAUCCAUACAGUCUUAUAACAUCAAAGCUAAUAAUGUAUGGCAGAUAACUCAUGGGCCAACACUUUAAAAAUAAUAACAUCUUAGCCUCUAUAUUCUAAUUAAUAAAGGAUUAUAAGCUGCCAGAAGACACAGCUGCGGGUUUCCUUUUUAGGAUUAUCUUUCCCUUCAAAUUUUCUGUUUUUACCAGUCCAUUCCUUUGCUUCAAAGAGAAACCAUUAUCUUGUAUUAAAAUGGCUAAUAUUGAUCUUUCAGAAACAUGAGGAUCUCACAAAAUGGAGACUCUUCCAAAAAUUGCUUUUGGGAGCAUGGAAAAAAAUACCAGAAAUGACUUGGCUCCAGCUUCUCCCCUCAAAUAUAGACACCACUAACUAGGGAGUAGUCAUUUGAUCAGCAGAGAGUUCAUGGUUAGGACCACCAUAUGACUGGGUUUGUCUGAAACAUUCCCAGUUCACGCCAGCUGUCCCAGUACACUAAUUAAUAGCAAGCCAUUUUGUUCUCAAAAAUGUCUGGAUUUGGACAGUAAAAUUAUAUGGUCACCUUUUUCAGAGUUCAUCAGCAUUUGACUGUCCCCACAAAAGAGAGGUGAGCAGAGAGGGAUUUGGUGCCAAAUGGCUUUGUGCUUUCCCAUCUCUGAACCUCGGGCACAUCUCAGACUUUUCUCAGCACUCUAUGGCAGGCCUAGCUACAAGCAUAGUCCUUUCUGUAGCACAAGCUCAAAGGUAAACAAUCUGUAAGUCAAUAAAUGAAUCAGUCUUCCACAUAGCUUGUUGAUCAAUAUAUCAUUUCUCUUUCCACUUUCAAGAAAAGUGAAAUGGAAAUUAGGUUAUCAUGUGACAGAGUCUGGUUUGCCUUGGCCUUCCAGAAGGCAUUGGGAUUCAGAGAGGCAAGUAGUGUGAGAUUUGCUUCUGGACGAGGGUGGCCUCUGAUGGCUGGGCCUGCCGAAAAGGCCUUCCAGACUGCAAGGUGCUAGCCAGAAGAAUCCCCUGAUCAAAGCCUCCUUGCCCCCUAGCCUCAUACUCCUCAGAGUAAAGUAGAGAUGAUAUUUAAAGGCAGCCAACUGAUCAAGAAUAUCUAGCCUUCUUAUGAGGAAGAUAAGCCUUUCUCUUUCAGGACCAAGAACACAACUCAGGAGAUUGUACAAGAAUCAGGAGUUAGCAACACAGCUAUAUGCCAGCUCAGAUCAGGAGUCCAGGGGGCAGCAGCAUGGUGGGGCUCUUAUUCCAAAGCCAGGCUGAGGAGGAGAGAGACCAAGAACUCUAAAUAGCUAAAAGGUAACCUGAGAUUAGACAAUCCCUACUCCGUGAGUCCCACACCUUUCAUGAUUCAGCAGUCCCAUCUGUAAUAUAGCUAAUGUAUUAUUGAUGAUGAUGAUGAUUUCAUUGGGAUUUAGCAGUCGCAAGUAAUAUAAUGACAUUCGCUACUAUUUAUUAAGCACCAAAUGUGUGCAUUAUCUAAUUUAAUCGUUAUAGUAACUUUGCAAGCAAAGUGCAUGAUACGUGGUUUUACCACAUACAGGUAACACGGAUAACAGGGUGCUAGAAAUAGUUCAUGCUCUAUAAACAAUAAUAAUAGCCACCGUUAUUGUAUUACUCAAUUGUCACCACGUGUCUCUUUAAAUACCAGAAUGAACUGCUUUUGGUUCUCUCAUGUUUCCUAGUCCAUCUCAUCUUAGUACCUUCACACAUGUAGUUUCUUAGAACACACUCCAACCUCAAAUUCCCAUUUAUUUACCCCUCGGCUCUCAGCACAGAUAUGAUUUCUUGCAGGGAAUCCUCCCUGAACUUCCAAAUUGAAAUGAGUGGCCCCUCCUAAAACCUUCACUCUCUAUUGCCUGCUGUCAAAAGUCUCAUUUUACUUCGUUAUAGUUGUUAAUUUAUUUAUCUGUAACUCCUCCAAAAUUACAACCCCUUUGAAGUUAGGAACUGUGUCUCAUUCCUUAUUCCUCAUUUUUCCCCUUCGUAAUACACACACAACACCUGACACAUAGCAGGUACUCAAGAAACAUGCGUUGAAUGAUUACAUGAAUAAAUGACCCAUUUCACUCUGGUGGUGAGAACUGUGGAGGCGAAUGGCAAGAACAAUGACACCUGACAAUUAAAUAAGUACACACUUACUCAGAAGACAUUCCCAGUAACAGAGAGCACACACUAUUUCCAUCGCCCUGUUAUUUAUGUUACCUGUAUGUGGUGAAACCAUGUACUGUGCACUUUGCCUGCAAAGUUACUAUAGAGAUUAAAUUAGAUAAUGCAUGUAUUUGGUGUUUAAUAAAUAGUAGUUAAUAUUUAUUAGUUAAUAUUUAUAGUUAUUACAUGACUUAAGCUUCACUACAACCCUGUGAUGUAAGUAUUGCUAUCUGCCUUUUGCCAUAUGAGGAAACUGAGCCUCAGAGAGGCGAAAGUAUUUCACAGAAAAUGGCAAAGUCAAGAUUCUAAAUGAUAACUGCCUGACUCGAACCCAAGCUCUUUCACUAUAGCAGCCCGACUCGAUGCAAAAUGAAUGGAAGAAUGAAAGAAGGCAGGAAGGUAUAAAGGCAGGAAGGAAAAGUGGAAGGAAAGAGGGAGGGAGGAAAUAGGGAGGAAUAAAAGGAAGGAGGAAAUAAAACAGGAAGAAAGAAAGGAAGAUUGUGAUUUUUUUUUCAUCUGUACCCUAAUCCUUGAAAAAUUCUUCAAACAAGUAUCAUUGUAUUGAUCUUCAUAUAGCAUUCAUGCUUCAACUGUUACAGGUAUGAUUUGCAAGGGAACAUUAUAAAGACAAUUGACUGUGCACAGUGGCUUGAGCCUGUAAUACCAGCAGUUUGGGAGGCCAAGGCAGGAGGAUCACUUGAGCCCAGGAGUUCAAGACCAGCCUGGGCAACAUAGUGAAACCCUGCCUCUACAAAAAAUACACAAAAAUUAGCCAGGUGUGGUGGCAUGCAUCUGUAGUCCCAGCUACCCAGGAGGCUGAGGUGGAAGAAUCAACUGAGCUAGGGAGGUGAAGGCUGCAGUGAGCCGUGAUCGCAUCACUACACUCCAGCCUGGAUGACAGAGACCCUGUCUCAAAAAAUAAAAAUAAUCAAAACCUCCCAUCUAAACGAGCUGCCACAUCAUUCAGCCAUGAUACCUCAGCUUGUAGCAGCCACAGCUCUGUCCACACUGUCCCUUCUUGCCAGUAUGGCCUCGGUUGGCACAUCCAGCAUCCAUGAGUUUUGUCCUGAUUCUGGCCUUGCUCUGGAUUGUCGAUGUGAGCCUUUGCGGAGGAUGAUGAGUCAGGAUGCUUGAUCAAGGACUUCAACAAAAUGAGGUUAAGGAUCAAUAUGGAGAGUCAUAAAAGUUUGCAAGGAGGUGGUGAAGGAGGCAUCCCAAAUUGGCUGCUUGACGCUGGUUUACAAACAACCUUUGUCUACAGACAGCAAAUAGCAAAACUUCUCCUGCAAAAACAGCUAAGAACGUGCUUCCUCAUCAGUGGUAUAUUCCAGAUAACAGAAAGCCUGCACAUGACUCACACAUGUUCUUUAUGGAAAUUUUCUUGGAUGAUUUCAAGAUGAUACAUGUCAUCAGGUGUAGAACCAUUCCAGUCAGUCUACUCAACCAAAUUUCCUUUCCUUUUUUAUAAUUCCAACUCUUAUUUUAGAUGCAGGGGUUAUGUGUGCAGAUUUGUUUCCUGGGAAUAUUAUGUGAUGCUGAGGUUUGGAGUACAAUUGAUCUCAUCACCCAGGUAGUCAGCAUAGUACCCAACAGGUAGUUUUUCAACUCCUGCCCACCUUCCUCCCCUCUCUUGUAGCCCCCGGUGUCCAUUGUGGCCAUCUUUAUGUCCAUAAGUACCUAAUGUUUAGCUCUGACUUAUAACUGAGAAUACAUGUUAUUUGGUUUUCUGUUUCUGUGUUCAUUAGUUCAGGAUGACAGCCUCCAGCUGCGUCCAUGUUGCUGCAAAGGGCAUGAUUUUGUUUCUUCUUUAUGGCUGCAUAGUAUUCCAUGGUAUAUAUGUACCACAAUUUCUUUUCAAUUCACUGUUGAUGGGCAGCUAGGUUGACUCCAUGU